UGAACGUAUGGGAAACCAGAGCCUGGCCCACCUGGAUGCCCCAUAUAUCAGGUAUGAGGCACAGAGAAGUGCCCCUUGGAGAGGCCCACACUCAGCUGUCAGUGUUAGGAAGACACUGAUGUCUCCAUCACUGAGUGCAUGGCUCUGAACUGCUCCCUCAUGGCCUCCAUCUUUGUGCAUCCUCUUCUAAAUCUAUUAUAAAACAGAAAAGGCAUAUUGUUCCAGAACUAAAUCGUACCUUUUCCCUUAUCUGAUAAAGAAACAAUGAACCAUGUGCUGCUGUCAUUCACAGUACUGUUUCAGGAAAGGAGGACAUCCCUGGGUGAAGGUAGUUCCUGCAUCAUCACUAUGGGGUUACCAAGAGCUGACAUCUGCUUCCUUGGCAUCCAGUGCUGGUCUCACAUGAUUGGCUUCAGCUGCUCAGAGCACGACAACCUGCUGAUUUGACUAAUUCCUGUCUGCUCUUCAUUGGUCUCAAGAUCAGCUGAACAGAGAAAGUGAUUUUCAAAGCAACCUGAGGAAAAUGUUCGUUUUCUCCUAGGCCCUAAGGUGCUGUUCUGCACCCUGAACAAACCACUGGGUAGAAAGCAGUUGGAAAGUUGUGACGUUCUGAAGAUAAGCAACCUGAGCAAAGCAACUGCAGGCUGUCAUCCUGCCAGAAGUCUUGUUAAAACAUUGAACAUUUCAUUCAAUUAAUGAAGUACUAAAAUAAGUCACUGAUGCUAAACAGCAAAGAUUUAAGAAAACACAUACUGUCAAACUAGCCAGAUAUUUUCUGAGGAGAGUACUGUUUUGGUAAAUACAUGUAUUACAGCUGGUAUGAUAACCUUAGACUUUGGAAUGACAUUUGAUGUUGAGGCUAUGAAACUAUAAAGCUAUACAGUAUGCUUGGAACAUAUGAAUUAAGCUAAAAGCCAGGGGUCUGGUAUGCCCCAAAAUCUAACUGUAUAUGCUACUGAGAUAAUUUGUUUUUUAGCCACUCUUUUUUUUUUCGUCCCCAAAAUAUAGGAAUAGAUACUGGUACAGUUUGUAAAUCAUUCAGGAAUGUACUCCACUACAAAUGGAGAUAAGCAUAUUUAGAUUAGAAACAGGAUAAUUAUUAUCAUUAGGGGUAAUUAUCUGCUACAAAACUCUAUCAACUCUGGUGAAAUAUUUCACUGAAAAAAUUAGUUUAAGGUAGACUGUUCAUUUCUCCUAAAAGAAGUCCAAAUCCAGAUGCAGAGAUUUAUUUAAAAUAACAAGUCAAGAAAACGCUCUGCCUCUGGGAAGCCCUCACGAGCACAAUGCCUUUUUUCCUUCUGGCCUUAAAAGUCAGGAAGUACAAAUUUCAGUUAGGUUUACUUUUAGAGGGACAGUGCUUUCCCUUAUUCCAAACAGCACCAAAGAAUAAAUAAAGACAGCAUUAACGCAAUGAAUCAACAGACCCAUUUCAGACCAACUAUGGGUGGCUGGAACCAACUCUGAGAUAACAAACUAAUGAAAACGUACACUGAGAGUAAAGGCAUCCUGCAAACCCUUCAAGCACCAGAAAAUCUCACGUGCUAACUUUCUUUGACUAAAUUUGUUCCCAAGUCUCAGCAUUAUGGCAGCUUCAACUCUAAUGCUAAGAUAGCAAGAAUUUGUAUGCAUAGAGGUCUAGCUAGCAAUGGGCAUACCAGGUGUAGUGGAAAUGCUAAGUCACAGCCUGAAACAGUGAUUAGGCACCUGGUGGGAAGGCAGGGCCGACCCAGGAGAGCUCAGGUGCAUGCAAUGCAGCUGAGUGACUGGAAGGGAUGAAGCAGAAUCCUCCUCUUCCCAGAUGUCAUUUAAGAGUUGGCAGUGGAGGUGAGGGUGACUUUUGCUGGAGAUCCCUGCCUACCUGAGGUCUUCUACAGGUAGGUUCUGUCCUGUUUGGGCUUUAUCCAAUGAAAUUCCUGGAUUUGAGGGAGAACCCUUCCUGGGAAGAUGAGACAAAUGAGCCUGACCAGAAGAUGAGGGCCUUGGUGCUCCCUCCUCAGAGCAAAAAGCACUUGUGCAUUGCAGUGGGUCUUCUGCUGUUACUCCUAUUCCCUCUGCCCUGCACUUGAGAUUCCUUGCACAAUCUGAACAUGUCAAAGCAAACCACGUGUCUGAAAUGAUUCAUUUUGAAGAUUCAGAAGCUGUAAGAUAUGAAUGGAUGCACUUCACUGUCUCCUUGGCAGGUCCAGAUAUCAUCUCACUGACCUCCCUUCACAGUUAUUACCUACAAACGCUAACAGGCAAUGCCUGAGUUGCCAGAGGGCAGGUGAGGGAGUACAUCAAACCACAGGCCAGUGGCACUGCUAGGAUCAAUGCAGGUCUACAGGCUGGGCCAGGCCCUUCACAGCUUGCUGGAUGUGGCCUUGGGGACAGCCUGCAAAACAACCUUUACCUCCAGAUUGCUCAGCAGAAAGACAACCUGGAUUUGGCCACAUCAGCCAUAAUGCUGCUCCUUUGCCUCAUGUUUGUAAACAAAUCAAUCUAGCUGGUGGCUGAAGAGCUUUAGCCAUGGACUGUCUUCCCCACCCCAGUGCCCCAAGGCACUACAAUCUCCUGGAGAAAUCACAGCAUUGUAAGGAUUGGAUGGGACCUCUGGAGAUCAUCUAGUCCAAUCCCCUGCUAAAGCAGGUAUCCUACAGGUGUAAUGAAAUGGCACAGAGAAGAUAUUGCAAGCAGACUGUCUUAAGGGAACAAGAUGGUACAUGGACUCUUAAACAUCCAACAUGAAUGUUGAUGGGCACAACAUUCAAGAUGUGGCUCCAGCUCUGCCACUGCUUCUCCCUUGAUUCUCUUCGAUAGAAACAGCAAGCUCCAAAAGAGCACUACGCUAAAGUACUUAAAUCAGUACCCAAAACAGCAAAUUAAAUCCAGCAAGUGCACAAAAAUACAAAAUUUCCAGCCACGAGUUCUCAGGGCUUUUCUCCUCAAGUUGAGAGAUGUGCUGUUGUCUGGUUGGAGAGGUGAACUUUGUGCAAGAUGGUCAGCACAGAAAGCCAGAUCCUUUAGCAGCCAUCAUUAAUUUGAGAGACUGGGCCAACACAACAGGAACGUGAAGCAGGAAUGGAUGACAACUUCAAUAACAAAGUUAACUUGGGACAAGUUCAUCUUCAGUAAAUCCAAACAUCACAGAAUGGAUUUGGAUUAUUUCAGUACUCAAAGAGCACUGACUUAGGAAGCUGCUAUGUUGUAUCUGUUUUCUGAGAUGCUGCCCGGCAAGGAAAGACUGAAGAACUCCUUUACACCAGCAGUGUCCUGCCCCAGCAUCCUCAUCCCUGGAUUAUGGCUGCAACUAUAUACAAUAUGAAUAGACUGGCUUAAACAAAAUAAGAGCCCCCUAAAUUUGCAGUAGAUUUUGAUGUACACAAAAAUGCCACAAAAUCUUUUUUCCUACUUCUUCAGUUCUUUGUAGUCCUGUGCUUUUCCUGCUGCUUGUAAACGGAGGGCUAUUUCCAGAGGGCUAUGAGCCAGUCAGGUAAACAACUGCUACUAGGCAAUAGUAGUGUGCUCAGCAGAAAGCCUGUCUUGAUUUACUGCCUCCCUCAAGUAGUUAGGUUAAAUAACACUGAUGGAAAUUAGCUAUUCCUGGAGCAGAUGAUUCUUCUGUUUAUCACAUUAUGUUGCAGACAACUUUAUAUCACACAGCUGCUCUGUGCAUAUGUCCCUACUACAGUUUUAAAGGGGGUACUGUUAUCCCUGUGCAGUGGGAACUUCUGCUAUAAUAAAAACAUGUGUGGGAUAAUGCUGGAGAAAUUCCCUUCCCUGCAGCUUUCACACUGCAGACGCUGUUUCUCUGCACUCUCAGUUCACCUCUUUGUUUAGUUCUCUCCUCCUUUCUAAAAAUAAUUUCCAUCUGAAACAAGAAUCAUGCGAGUAUUGUGCUCAGAUCUGGAGGAUGAGACUUGAAGAAAUGGAAGAAAAAAGCAGUUCUGCAGAAGCUUCAUGGAGGUCAUGGGUGAUAGAGGGGUACAUGGCUCAUUGCAAGUAGGACUGUAACUUUGGGUGGAUAAAAGCUGAGCGUGAAUGUAAAAAGGGAAAAAGAGAGGAACUGUACUGGACUUCCAAGUGUGGUGCUUGAUACCUGAGCUUUAGAGGUCAUUGAAUGUGGAUUCGUUUGAGUUUUCUAGUAGAUUUCACUAAAGCCUCAUGUACUAUGCUGUCUUCAGUGACCUCACGUUCUCCUGCUUUUUUUUUCUGGCAGAUUUAAGAAUCUUUUGAAAAAUGAACUUGUCAUUUUUACUAAAAUAAAAAUAAUAGGAGAUGAAUGUACCGGUUGCUCAGGCAUAAGUGAAGCACAUUGAGAUGAAGCAGCUUGUCCAGAGUCGCUACAGCUUAGUGGAAAAGCCAGAAAACAGAAUGUCUUUUGACUCCUGGCCAGUCCUACACUCUGAACUCCUCCCUGGGAGUCAGAUGGAAACACUGGAUUUAGUCAUAACUGCAUUUCCAUGGUGGAAGCAGUCAGAUCUCUGCCCCACACUGAUGCCAUGCCCAGAACUUCUGUGUGGCACAGACCUGUGGGCAUCCAGUGGGUUAUUCAGGAAGGGCUCAUGCUAAUCCUGUAGAAAGCUUCUAUUGGUUUUAAUAUCACUGUAGUGGAAGAAUGGCUCUUCAGGUUAGAGUCCUACAUGCUUAUGGAAAUACAAUGAUGCAGAGUGCAGAGCAAUCAGAAGAAUGUUUAAAAAAAGAAAUAAAUAAAUAAAAAAUAGACUAAGGAGUGAAAGUCUGUGCACCAAGCAAUCAACAAGCUGAGAACCAGAUCUGCCAGCUAUCCUAUUCAGCCCCACCUCUGAUGAGCCCCACCAGAACUGAGGCAUGUCUCCACAAUUAGGAGCUGAACAUGGUUUCAGAUGCCAAGGUCCUUUGGAGGAGAGUAGGGUUAGUGAGUGUGGAAGAAGAGUCUGUUUUCUAAAGCAUGAUCUGGAGAAGCAGUUGCAUUUAAAGGCCUUGUGGAAAAAAAGCUUUUAAGGCGAUUACAUCAUAGCUACUUUCUGUGUUAACGCUCUGCUCUGGCAUUUAUCUUUACAAUGGGCACUCACGUCAGCUACUGCCCUCUGUCACAUGUUUUUCUAACCAGCCGUCUCCUGAUGAAAUGCUGUUUCUCCUUCUCCCUCAGUGAAUGGACAGAAUUGUUUUUAGCCUGAUAAAUCACACUAUCAGUUUCUGUCCUAAGCAAAUUAGAAUUGAAGCCUAUGGUUUGCAAGGCAGUCUCCUUGCAACAGUACAGUUAUUCUGGAAAGCCUUGUGUGUACCAUCUUAUUUCCCUGCUGUCCAUGACCUGAACCAGCACCAGGCUGAGUAGCACAGAGCAGGAUGACACCUUUAUAGAGUCCUAGUGCAUAACAGCCAUCAUUCAGGCAGAUGUUCCUGUAUUGUAUGGCAUGCUUUUUGAAAUGCAGGAGUUGAUCAGAUUAGUGGGUAUCUACUGCCUCCAAGAAACAGGUCACAAAUGCCUGAACAUUUUUUUGUUAAAUUAGUAUUCUGAAAUUUAUUUCAGAAGGUGACCUGAUUUCUGCAGGUUCUGAGCACUCAGAUACUUUAACUUGGGUGCCUGAAUAUAGAUAUGCAAGCUCCAGUUUAACCUUUUGCAUUCUAUUAUACAGGAGCCAACCUCUCUUUUCUGAGGUAUUACCCCAUGGGAACAGAAAUCCCUCUAAAGAAGGACCCCAGCCUCAGCUCUUUCCUUGUUCAGUGAUUUUUUUUUUUUUUUUUUUUUUUUUUUUUUUUUUUUUUUUUUUUUGCAAGAUCUUUACCCCAUCCUCUGAUUCUCCUCCAGGCACAGUAGUCUAAGUUUUCUGUAGUGUUCCAAGUUAUAGUAAUAAAUAGUAUGUUUGCACAGUUAUUCCUUUUCCAAUUCUGUAAUGGGGUAAAUAAUUUUACCCUUAGAGGUACUAUACUUCCAUCAACCAGCUGCAUUUCCUCGAUCUCUUCACAUAUUCAAGCAAGAACAGCAGUGAAGCAGUGGUUUAGGGCAGAACAACAAUGGCACAGCCAUGACCUGAAGACAGUGAUUCUCAGUUCUUUAGAACAGAGGCACUGCUGAAAGGCACAGACAUAAGCAAGUGCUGUACCAUCCACUUCAUUGCACAAACACAUAGCCCAGCUCUCCAGUGGCAAGUGAUGUGCAGAAAGCAUGAGCAUGCUUCAGAAGGGAAAAUCAGUGCCUGUGAACACCUGCUUGCCCAAGCAAACUGUGUGAUCUGCUUACGUUCAGGAAAGAGGCCUGAAAACACUUAACCCUCAU